UAUGCAAAUGACGACAACUUAGACAGGGACAUCUGUACUACUAUGUAGAAAAUGAUGAUUUGUCUUUGGGAUUAUCUCUGAUGCAUU